CGGAGCCGGUGCCGGCCCGCGAGCCCCGGUGUCUCCGCAGACUGGUCUCUGCCGGUGUCCGGCGGGGGCCCAAGCCGUGGGAGGAGUCGGGUGCUAGCUGGAGUCUAGCUGGGGUCACAACGCCGGUGUCAGGGACCCGGAUCUCCGGCUACGGAGACAGAGCCCGAGCGUCGCGACCCCGGAGAACCUCUUCUCUAUCGGUGGCACCGACUGGUCCUAGGAUCUCGGCGGCGCCGGAGAGUCCCGGAGCCCGCGCUCUCAGCCCCGGGGGAGCUCGCCCACGCCCCACGGUCCAUCCGGGCCAUGCUCCCCCGGGGCAGCGGCUGAGCCCGAGCCGGGACCAGAGCCCGCGGGAGCAUGGAUCCAGACUGGGGGCAGCGGGAUGUGGGCUGGGCGGCCCUGCUGGUCCUCUUCGCCGCCUCGCUGCUCACGGUAUUGGGCUGGUUGCUGCAGUAUGCCCGGGGUUUGUGGCUGUCGCGAGCCGGUGGGGGCCGAGACUCUCGACCCGCUUCAGCUGCCGAGCCCGGGGGUUCAUUGCGCGAGCUGGGUGUGUGGCGUUCGCUGCUGCGUUUGCGGGCGACCCGGAGCAGCGCCCCCGAGGAAGCCGGCGUACGGGGCCUCCUGGCUUCGCUCUUUGCCUUCAAGUCUUUCCGGGAGAACUGGCAACGGGCUUGGGUGCGAGCCUUGAAUGAGCAGGCCUGCAGGGACGGGAGCUCCAUCCAAAUCGCCUUUGAGGAGAUACCCCAACUCCCACCAAGAGCCAGCAUUAGUCAUGUGACCUGCGUUGACCAAUCAGAGCGUACCAUGGUAAGGGUCUGGUGGGCACUACCAGAUGGGGUAGGAGGGGCUGACCCUG
rnacentral:lncRNA from 1 species